GGUCUAGUGGCUAGGUAACCUGGCUUUCACCCAGGAGGCCCGGGUUCGAUUCCCGG
rnacentral:tRNA from 1 species